rnacentral:rRNA from 1 species
UGGGGAAUAUUGCACAAUGGGCGCAAGCCUGAUCCAGCCAUGCCGCGUGUAUGAAGAAGGCCUUCGGGUUGUAAAGUACUUUCAGCGGGGAGGAAGGGAGUAAAGUUAAUACCUUUGCUCAUUGACGUUACCCGCAGAAGAAGCACCGGCUAACUCCGUGCCAGCAGCCGCGGUAAUACGUAGGGUGCAAGCGUUAAUCGGAAUUACUGGGCGUAAAGCGCACGCAGGCGGUUUGUUAAGUCAGCUGUGAAAUCCCCGGGCUCAACCUGGGAACUGCAUCUGAUACUGGCAAGCGUAAGUCUCGUAGAGGGGGGUAGAAUUCCAGGUGUAGCGGUGAGAUGCGUAGAGAUCUGGAGGAAUACCGGUGGCGAGGGCAGCCCCCUGGACAAGGACUGACGCUCAGGUACGAAAGCGUGGGGAGCAAACAGG